CUAACAUUGUGUAUCUGAGUGAACGCCGCUCUCAUGAUCUGUUUCUCUCAGGAUCCGUUCAGCUCAAUUAUUGAGUUUGUUUGUCAUUUCUAUUCAGAGUCAGUGCUGCAGAUCAGAUUCUGUUUCAUCAUGGAGGACACACAAACAUCCACAGAACAAGAGUUUUCUCUAGGAUGCAGUUCAGUUCAUCAGAGGAGAUCAGGAGCAGAGUCCAGCUGUGUGUCUGUGAGGAGUGAUGUGUCUAUGGAUCAUCCAGUACAGUUUAAGAGUGGAGAUACAAAGACUGAUCUCAGGUACAUUUCUAUAUGAAUAUUGUUAUAGUAUGUCAUUUUAUAUUAUCAAAAAAGUGUAUGCAGUAUUUUUAUCUACAAUAUAGGAGAAAUUUGUCUUGUACUUUGCUAAAAUAUUUUUAUCUUUAUCUAAUAUUUUAUCAUAUACUGUAUAGUGUUACACAGAGACACAUUUGUGAAAGCACUCAGUUCUUUUUAAUAUCUUUUGUGAAAAAAGGGGUAAGUGAAAUGAUCCUGAAGUGCUUUUUAAAGUGAUUGUUUAAAUAAUACAGUUGCAAUUAGAAUUCUUCAACCCUCUUGACCUGUGAGGCAUUUUACUGCAGAGAACAUGAUUUUGUGAAAACAGUUCACCAAUGGCAUCAGUACAAUAUUAGAGAACGUUUAUUAAUACACAUUUGAGUAAUUCUGAGAACGUAAAUAAUGAGGAAAAUCUAAUUGGCUCUAAACGUUCAUGUUCAAAAAAUAUUUAACCCCCAAAAGUCCAAUUUGGUGCAGAAUCUUUUAUUCUUUAAAACCAUUAAUAAACACUGCUUGGAAGUAGUGUUGUUUUUGGCA
ensembl:lncRNA